CAGGGAUUGAAGGCCUUUCAGAGAGUCCAGCAUGUGAUAAAACAGUCCAUUUGUGAAUCGGUGUUUUUACCUAGAUUGAAUUCGUACUAAGAAUCAGUGGAGUGUUAACACAAGAAGAUAAAGAAAAUUGCAGGGCAAGAUACAUGAGUGACUUACUUCCUCUACCAAGGCUUCAUCUCCUACCUUUCACCACUUCACAAUAAUGCCAUUGUGUUAUGAAUUCACUGAGUGAUUAAUAUACUCUUUGUGUCUGUGCCCCCACUAUAUAAUUGUCUGUGGAAAUGCUAUCACAGACACGUCAGAGUUGUGCUUUGUUUAUCCCCUGGUUUUUUUUUUCAUCCAAUCAAGUUUAUACUCAUAGCCAUCACAAGAUUUGUGGAAGAAAAGGGAAAAGAAAGCCUAAUGGAGAAAUGAGUGCACAAGAGAUUGUAUCCUAAAUUCAGAAUUAUUGACCUUAGAACAUCUGAAAAUUAAAGCUAUGUGGAACAAAUAC